AUUGAACGCUGGCGGCAUGCUUUACACAUGCAAGUCGAACGGUAACAGGGAGCUUGCUCCGCUGACGAGUGGCGAACGGGUGAGUAAUGCAUCGGAACGUGCCGUGUAGUGGGGGAUAACGUAGCGAAAGUUACGCUAAUACCGCAUACGCCCCGAGGGGGAAAGUGGGAGACCGCAAGGCCUCACGCUAUACGAGCGGCCGAUGUCGGAUUAGCUAGUUGGUAGGGUAAAGGCCUACCAAGGCGACGAUCCGUAGCGGGUCUGAGAGGAUGAUCCGCCACACUGGGACUGAGACACGGCCCAGACUCCUACGGGAGGCAGCAGUGGGGAAUAUUGCACAAUGGGCGCAAGCCUGAUGCAGCGACGCCGCGUGGGGGAUGACGGCCUCGGUUGUAAACCGUACUUUCUAGUAGGGACGGAAGGGUGGACUGACGGUA
rnacentral:rRNA from 1 species